AACGAACGCUGGCGGCAUGCCUAACACAUGCAAGUCGAACGAGACCUUCGGGUCUAGUGGCGCACGGGUGCGUAACGCGUGGGAACCUGCCCUUAGGUUCGGAAUAACUCCCCGAAAGGGGUGCUAAUACCGGAUAAUGUCUUCGGACCAAAGAUUUAUCGCCUUUGGAUGGGCCCGCGUUGGAUUAGCUAGUUGGUAGGGUAAAAGCCUACCAAGGCGACGAUCCAUAGCUGGUCUGAGAGGAUGAUCAGCCACACUGGGACUGAGACACGGCCCAGACUCCUACGGGAGGCAGGAGGGGGGAAUAAUGGACAAUGGGGGAAAGGCUUAACCAGCAAAGCCGGGUGAGUGAUGAAGGCCUUAGGGUUGUAAAGCUCUUUUACCCGGGAUGAUAAUGACAGUACCGGGAGAAUAAGCUCCGGCUAACUCCGUG
rnacentral:rRNA from 1 species